rnacentral:rRNA from 1 species
AUUGAACGCUAGCGGGAUGCCUUACACAUGCAAGUCGAACGGCAGCACGGACUUCGGUCUGGUGGCGAGUGGCGAACGGGUGAGUAAUGUAUCGGAACGUGCCCAGUAGCGGGGGAUAACUACGCGAAAGCGUAGCUAAUACCGCAUACGCCCUACGGGGGAAAGCAGGGGAUCGCAAGACCUUGCACUAUUGGAGCGGCCGAUAUCGGAUUAGCUAGUUGGUGGGGUAACGGCUCACCAAGGCGACGAUCCGUAGCUGGUUUGAGAGGACGACCAGCCACACUGGGACUGAGACACGGCCCAGACUCCUGCGGGAGGCAGCAGUGGGGAAUUUUGGACAAUGGGGGAAAACCUGAUCCAGCCAUCCCGCGUGUGCGAUGAAGGCCUUCGGGUUGUAAAGCACUUUUGGCAGGAAAGAAACGUCGCGGGUUAAUACCCCGCGAAACUGACGGUACCUGCAGAAUAAGCACCGGCUAACUACGUG